rnacentral:rRNA from 1 species
GCCCUGGCUAGGCGGUUCGCCUUUGGUUGAUACUGCUCUGGCUGGGGUUCACCUUCUGGUGAGCCAGUAUGCGCUUUAUUGCAGUGUACUGGGGAACCAGGACUUUUACCUUGAAAAAAUUAGAGUGUUUAAAGCAGGCAUUUGCUUGAAUAUAUUAGCAUGGAAUAAUAGAAUAGGACUUUGGUUCUAUUUUGUUGGUUUCUAGGACCGAAGUA